CCUACGGGAGGCAGCAGUCGGGAAUUUUGGGCAAUGGGGGAAACCCUGACCCAGCAACGCCGCGUGAAGGAUGAAGUAUUUCGGUAUGUAAACUUCGAAAGAAUGGGAAGAAUAAAUGACGGUACCAUUUAUAAGCUCCGGCUAACUACGUGCCAGCAGCCGCGGUAAUACGUAGGAAGCAAGCAUUGUUCGGAUUUACUGGGCGUAAAGGGCGCGUAGGCGGCGCGGUAAGUCACUUGUGAAAUCUCUGAGCUUAACUCAGAACGGCCAAGUGAUACUGCAGUGCUAGAGUGCAGAAGGGGCAAUCGGAAUUCUUGGUGUAGCGGUGAAAUGCGUAGAUAUCAAGAGGAACACCUGAGGCGAAGGCGGGUUGCUAGGCUGACACUGACGCUGAGGCGCGAAAGCCAGGGGAGCAAACGGGAUUAGAUACCCCGGUAGUCCUGGCCCUAAACGAUGAAUACUUGGUGUCUGGAGUUCUAAUACUCCGGGUGCCGUCGCUAACGUUUUUAGUAUUCCGCCUGGGGAGUACGCUCGCAAGAGUGAAACUCAAAGGAAUUGACGG
rnacentral:rRNA from 1 species